rnacentral:rRNA from 1 species
UACAGAGGUCCCAAGCGUUGUUCGGAUUCACUGGGCGUAAAGGGUGCGUAGGCGGUCGGGUAAGUCUGAUGUGAAAUCUCACAGCUUAACUGUGAAACUGCAUUGGAUACUAUCCGGCUCGAGGAAUGGAGGGGAGACUGGAAUACUUGGUGUAGCAGUGAAAUGCGUAGAUAUCAUGGGGAACACCAAAUGCGAAGGCACUGUACUGGUACGCUCCUGACGCUGAGACACGAAAGCGUGGGAAUCGAACGGG